AUGACAAGUUUCAAACUAGUAAAGUAUAUCCCUAGGAUAAAGAAGAAGAAAAGUGGGCUAAGGAAACUCGCAAGGAAAGUUCCAACCGAUCGUCUACUUAAGUUCGAGAGAGUUUUCAAAGCACAAAAACGUAUCCCUAUGUCUGUUUUCAAA
rnacentral:rRNA from 1 species